CCCACAAAAGACACACCAGGCUUCAAUAUCAAUAGAAGCUCAAACAAGUAAACAAAUUACAAAACUGAGUUUCAGUUUCAGCUUCAGGCUUUCACGUGCAUAAGCAAGCAAAGAAACAAAACAUAAAUUGCAGAGCACCAUGGAAUUGAAUUGACAUUUCCAUGAGACUCUCUAAAGGCAAAAACAAAAGCCACCAACAUUAUUUUCGUCGCUCAAACCUCAACUCUCGACUCCGUUCGUCUCUGCCUUUGUUUUUACUUGUUUCAGUCCUGUUCAUAUCACACAGUAUAAGCGUACUACCCCAGCAAAUUUAGGGCACUAUGUACCCUAAAAGCAAUUGCGUUGUCAAAGCCAACCAAAAAAAAAACUUCAGAAAACAGAUUUUGAUAAUAAAUGUUUUGGUUGAAUGAAUGACAUAACAUAACACAUGCUGCAGGAUUUUGAACAUGAACUGUCAAAAACUUCACCUUUCCCAAGAAGAUACAAUAAAUUAAAUUAAAUGGACAGAGGCAAGGUCUCUGACAGUGAUUUUGAAUUGAUGAGUGAUAAUGGAACAGUGGUGAGUGCAUUGAAGUCUGCAAAAUUUCUUACGGAAAUUAACCAAAUUGUUUUUUUUAAUCUUUCUUCUUCUUCUUCAGUCUCACUUUCUCUAAGAAAAAUUUGUGAUUAAAGUUUGCUUAAAAGAAACAGAACGGCGAAGGCAUAAAGGGAAGAUCAAAAGAUAAAAGAGAAUCUAUUGUCACUCGAAUUUAAAUUAACUAAAACAGGCUAACCUGUGGUUCCUUGAUGAACAUUUGCAUUACACAGUAAUUCUCCUUUUAUCAACAAAAUUAAGGGGAAAAAAAAAGUAAAAUUAUAUCAUAACAAUAAGAAGAGAUUGAGCCGUCCCGCCAAUAUCACCACCACCAGUUCAAUUGCCACCACUAAGGACUAUCAUUGAAAGCCUAAGGAGAUGAAGAAGAAGAAGAAGAAGCUUGUUGUUGCAGAGAUUGUAUUUGAAAUAUGAAAUAUGAAACUUGUGGUGAAACAAAUAACCCAGUUCGCAAAUAAGCCCAAAUACCCCAUUUGCUUCACAAAUUUUCCCAUGAGAAGGAGAAAACCCAUUGCAUUUGCUUCAUCUGUAGCAGCAGAUCUAACCAUUUUCCAGAGCUGCGGCCAAAGGAACCCUAGCAUUGUCACAAAAACAGAAGAAAUGAGAGAAUGCUUGUGGGUUCUCGAAAAGAAACUUGUACCCAUUUUGUUGUUACAUUAUGGUCAAAGAAAUGAUCAUGAAUCAGAGAAGAAGAAGAAGAAGAAGAAGAAGAAGAAGAAAGAUGGGAUUUGUUUGUCCUAUACAGAGAGAAAAGCAAAAGCAAAAGCAAAAAGAAGGCAAGAGAAUGGCAACAAAAACAUGAGAUUAUAUAUAAUCAGGCUUUGCCUCUUGUGUGUGCAUAUUUAAGUGUACGAUUUGAGCAUGGGGGAUGGCACUGCUGGCACAGCUGCAACAUCAUGUUAUGUUUACUGCCUUCCUUCUUUGUUUUUAUUUCCUAACAAUCCAUGCCAAAGCCAAAGCCAAAGCGCAAAGCCAAAGCCAUUCUCCCUUUCAAUUUUCUCGCAGCAGCUGCAGCUUGCUUGCUUCAGAAGCCCAAGAUUUUUAUUAAAAAGCUAGAUUUGCGAAAGCAAUCUCUGUCCUUCUCUUGUUUCUUUCUUUCCCUUUAUUGCCCUUCGCUAUUUCCCAAAAUCCCACCAUUGCCCCCUCUCUUUUCUUUUUUCUAAUUAGCUAGCUGGGAUCCAUCAUACCGUCAUAUGAAAUGGGGUUCUUUCUAUUUAGAAUUUUAUGGUUUGAUGCUUCUAAAAAAAUCAAAUGUAAAACAGUCAAAAAGUGUUUGUUGCAUAUUUUUUUUUUUGUUUUUCCGUAAUAGUGAGACCUCUAUGACUACACAGUACAGGCAGCAAAGCCGAGGCUAAAAGCCUACAAAUAUAUCGAGACGAUCACCAAAUCCUCCAGACAUAAAAUAACAUUGCUUCUUGGCCUAACAUUCGUUUGUGGAUUCUAGGGAAGGCUAAUUAAGCAGCCAACUAAUAAAAGUCCAUUAUCUCAUUUCUUGAUGAGUUUAAACUCGAAAGUGAUUUCCCCUGCCGCUAGACUCAGUUGCCCUUUCCAUGCUGAAAAUUUGAAUAUUAAGUCUCGUGAAGGUAGGUUUUUGAGUUGAUUAAUAAAUUUUUGGGUGUGUUAUAAAACUAUGUAUCUACACUGUAGCAGAAUUCAGCUUGUAAGACAUAAAUAUGGACUUCUGAGUUAGUACUUAAUAAAUUUCCGGAUGUGUUACAAAAGUAAGUAUCUACACUACAAUAGAAUUCAGCUUGUAACCCAUAAAAUAGAUCGUAAGCAUUUUAAAAGGAAACUUGAAAACAAUUCAAAACCUAUAAGGAUUUUACUUUUACACUAACCUAAGCAAAGCUUUUUUGUUCAGUAUAAACGGGGAUUUAGAUUUUAGAGUUGGUCAAUUAUUGCAACUUACCCAAUGGAGGCCUUAAUAGGGACAAGUGGGUCACCAUUGAAUGACCCGUACGGGUGUUUUGGUCAUUUCACGAAGACGACCGAAAAUACCCCGGAUAUUGCGUUCCCAUGUCAGCCGAAACGGGGCAUGUGAUGUGAAAUUACCAUUUCUGGGUUUCCGCAGGUAACUUGCUGGGGUGUCCAACUCUGCCUCACCCUCAAUUGGUACUCGAAGGCUGAAACAGUCAUUUCACUCUUUAUAAACUAAGCUUCAACCUUUAACUUUGACUAUUUGGUUUCGAGAAAUCAUAAUGUUGGGGAGAGUUGUGCUUGCCUACAGGCUACAGGUACAGCGCUUUGAUUAAUGGUAUUAAUUUUAUAAUCAUCUAACUUAGAGUUUUAUUUUAAAUUUUUUCAUCACACGUCCUAGUUUAUAGCGAUAGCAUGUUGACAUGUUAUGAAUGCAUGUCAUGCAUGACAGUGAUAGAUGAUGAUGGGCCACGUGGACGUAGAUGAGGGAGGGUGCAUUAUUGGGGCAAAUGAAGAUAAGUAGUCGAUAGAUGGAUUAUGCGUUUCGGGAAAUGAUAUCAAAAUCAAGAAUCAGGCUCGAGAAAACAGCAAAGAGACAGAAUGUCUGAGGAAAAAGUCAGAGGAAAAAAAGAAAAAAGCGAAAUAAUGGAAAAUCUCUUUUCGUUUUCCAGGAAAAACAACAAAGAUAGAGAAAGAGAAAGAGAAAAGAGAAUGGUACCUGAAGAGAAAGCAGUGCAGCUCUUUAACCGAGAACGAGAGAAAGGUUUUUGAAUCAGGAACAUGUGUCCACCAUCAGACGGCCCUGAUUAAAGCUCACCUAUCUGAUAUUAUUCAUCACCCUGUAUACAUACACAACCCAAAUUACAGACGAUCAAAAAAUUUAAAAAAAAAACACACAGAAAAAUUAUGCAACUUUAACCGUGUACAAAAAUGGUGUAAAACAGAAAUGGAUUAUGAUUUGGUAGCUGCUUUUUGCAUUCCAUAUUGAGCAUGUUAUGUGACUUUGAACAUUUAAGGACGUGAAAAGAGAAAAUGAUAGAAAUGAAAAAGCUUCGCUCGUACCUCGUUUAAUGUUGCUGCUGCAGGGACCAAAAUUUUGCCGUAGUAAUUCUGCAGACUGUCUCAGAAAUUAAUGAAGAAAUAGAAAAGAUAAAGUGAAAGAGAGAGAGAGAGAGAGAGGGAGAGAGUUUUGCAAUGGCAUUGUUCGAAAAGCAUAAGGUAGUCACCUUCAAAACCCUGAAAGCUUCACUAAGGCUAUGUUGUUAUAUUUUGAUAUGUAUGUGCAUUUAAAGAGAGCAAUUUUACAAAGAGAAAUGCUAAUAAUGCUUUUGUAGAGCUCUGGUUUGUAGGCUUUUAAUGGAGGCAGAUGCGUGGUGAGAGUGAGACUGACUUUAUAUCCACCUACAAAGUCUUGAUUGAAGAUAAAUUAAUUGACCUUGUGGAUUGGUUAAAUUACCACGUUUGCCAUCGCUGGUGUCCGAGCCCCACAAACCUGAAGAGAUGGCCCAACUUCCCGGUAACAAAACCUGUUGUGUGAUGAUCUUUGAGUUCGAGAAGGCAAAUUUUUUCAACUCACAGCACCGGUGAAGACUUGGUCUGAUCGCAAGGGAAUUUCAUUACAUCUUUGCUUGCCGAGUCAAAGUUUCUCUAUUUUGAAACUACGUCGUAGAAAAGUUUACAUUUGAGUCUAAAUUGACAUGUAAUUACAACACAUCUAACGACUAACUUUGAAUUGGUUUACACUAGGGCCAGAAUAGAACCGGGGUUCAUGGAUAGCCCAUUUAAGUCCGAGCCCAAACACUGUUAGACAUCAGACGACGAUUUCCCAUCAUCAGCCUUAGGUGCACAAGGCCUUUUACGGCACGGAAUAUAGGCCCAAUACAGGCUUCUUUUAAUUAAUUGUUUUUUUU
rnacentral:lncRNA from 1 species